rnacentral:lncRNA from 1 species
CUUUCCCUUUGGAUCAGCAACUCUCAGGCCACAGCCACUGGGUUAAUGACGACUGUAUACCUGCCACCUGAAGGAGUCUAAGAGAAGAUCAGCACUGGGACAGAAGCCGAAAUGAAAAAAGAAGGAGGGAGCCAAGCUCAAAGAGGUGCAGUUGGUACCCCAAGGUCCCACAGUUAGAGAGUGAUGGAGCUGGAUUUGAACAAAGGCAGUCUGAUUCCGGGGCCCAUCUUCUGGAGCACCACACCUGAGGUGCAUGUUCCUACACAGGUGCUUUCUGUGAUGCCACGAGAAUACUCAGAUAGCACACGGACAGGCCCACAUGGCAAUGAAUUGCAACUUGCCAGCAACCAUGUGGGUUAGCUUGAAGUGAAUUCUCUAGUCCUGUGUCUUCAGGUGACUGUAGCCCUGGCUGACCAUGUGACUGAACCUGAGGAGAAGCUGAGCCAAAGGCACACAGAUAAGCUGCACCUGGAUUCCUGACUACAGAAACUGUGAAGUAAUAAAUGUUUGCUGUUCAAAGCCAAGGGUUGGCAAAAUAUAUUCCACUUGUUUCUGUAAAUAAAGUUUUACUGGAACACGGUAAUGUUCACUAAUGUGCCUAUUGUUAUGGCUGCUUUCAUACUUCAACAGUAGUAGCUAUUGAGUAGUUGCAGCAAAAGACUAUAUGUCCACAGGACUAAAAUAUUUACUAUGUGGCCCUU